ACUGCUAGUGAUGCUAAGAGCACUACACACAAGAAGAAUAGAUACUAACAGUAACUAUGUAUGAUGAAUUACAUUCCAUUGUUAGGUUAAUGACAUUAAGGGAUAAGUACAAUUCUCUGCUAUUGAAGACUACAUUGAGAAGUUGUUGGUUAAAUUUGAAGCUGUACUUACAUUAAGAAGAUUAUGAAGAUGUGAAGAAUUACUUUUUUAGUAUUGUUUUUGUUCUAUGUAACAAUUUCUUUGUUUAUAACUAUUUCAGCAUUUUUCUUCUUGUUCAAUACACAAUUUCUUCUUUAUCAAUCAUUGAUUAUGAAUUUUGAUUAUAA